AUGGUUGUCGUGCCCAAGGUCAAAUCUCAGCACGUAGAGUCUCCUCAAAGACACCUGAACUUUCUGGAUGCUCAGGUCUGCUCCAAACAACCCCUUCCCACACCUGAGAAGCUCCUGGGAGCAGCUGCACCGAGGAAACAGCUGCAAGAAGCCCUCGGGGCCCCAGGGUCCAGGAUGGGAAACGGCUCCCAGGGGGGCCCAGACUAUGGCAGGGAAGGCAGGUGCACUCAGGGCUCCUCACAGCUCCCCUGCUGCCUGCACUUAUGCACACAUGCGCCCACACGCAACGCACGCACUCUCGUGUGCACACCGAUGCCUUUCCACUGCCUCUCCUGCACUGGCACACACACGCUCACUCACACGCUGAGACCUCGCUCCCGGGGGGUGAGCCCUCUGGCUCCCGACACUGCACAGGGCUCUGUACUCUCAUGGGCGGCUCAUGUGUCACCGUGUCACCGUGUCAUUGUAGCUGGCCUGGCCGGGGACCUUUCUAGGAGGCAGAGCAGAGCAGUGGGGAGCGCCAGGCCCCGGGCGCAGAUGGCAGGCGACCACGGCCAGUGUGUGCUGCUCUGGGCUCUGGGCAGGCCGUGUGCUCUCCUGAGCCUCGGUCCCUCGUCUGCGGGUGGGGCAGCGCUGGUCACCGUCUGGAAGUGUGGCAGGGAUCGCACACGAUGCCGCUGGGGAGUGCUCACUGGGCGUCUGGCCCAGGCCCUGGGAGGUCAGCACCCAACAUGGUCAUCCGUUCCCGCUGCGCCAGAGACAGUGGGGCCCCUGCCCCGUGGAGGCGGGGAUGACUGGGCAGACAGAAAGGUGGCUGUGGAGCCCUGGGAGCAGUUCUGGGAGCCAUCGGGGGCGGGGACAAGGCCUUGGAAGGAGACACUGAGCCAGGGCCUGGGGGGAUGGGGCUGCCAGGAGCUCCCAGAGAUGGGAGAGCAGGAGUGUUCCGGAGAGGAGCCAAGUGAUUUAAGGGGAGGGAGGAGAAGGGAGGGGCAGGAAGGGUGGAGGGGGGAGGGAAGAGGGCCCCACUGCCCUGUCCUGGGGCACUGCCCUGGGGCAUGGGCUGUACUCAGCCAUUUGCUCCUAGUGAAGAGGGGACAGAGAGACAGAGGGACAGACGUCACUAUGAGACAGGAUUAUAACAAGACUGACGCAGGCUCCCUCCCACUCCUGGACCGCUCACCCUGGGGAAGCCAGCUGCCCUGCGGAGGGAGUGAGGCUCCCCAACGACCCCCCAGGGGGGCUGGAUGCUGA
rnacentral:lncRNA from 1 species